GAUGAACGCUAGCGGCAGGCUUAAUACAUGCAAGUCGAACGGGAAUUGGGUAGCAAUACCUGAUGAUAGUGGCGCACGGGUGCGUAACGCGUAUGCAACCUACCUUUAACAGGGGGAUAGCCCGGAGAAAUUCGGAUUAAUACCCCAUAGUAUUAUGGAGAGGCAUCUUUUCAUGAUUAAAGUUCCGGCGGUUAAAGAUGGGCAUGCGUCCCAUCAGCUGGUUGGUAGGGUAACGGCCUACCAAGGCUAUGACGGGUAGGGGACCUGAGAGGGUUAUCCCCCACACUGGUACUGAGACACGGACCAGACUCCUACGGGAGGCAGCAGUAAGGAAUAUUGGUCAAUGGGCGGAAGCCUGAACCAGCCAUGCCGCGUGCAGGAAGACGGCCUUAUGGGUUGUAAACUGCUUUUGUCAGGGAAUAAACCCUCGUUUGCGAACGAGGCUGAAGGUACCUGAAGAAUAAGCAUCGGCUAACUCCGUG
rnacentral:rRNA from 1 species